rnacentral:rRNA from 1 species
AUUGAACGCUGGCGGCAGGCCUAACACAUGCAAGUCGAACGGUAGCACAGAGAGCUUGCUCUCGGGUGACGAGUGGCGGACGGGUGAGUAACGUCUGGGAAACUGCCCGAUGGAGGGGGAUAACUACUGGAAACGGUAGCUAAUACCGCAUAACGUCGCAAGACCAAAGUGGGGGACCUUCGGGCCUCACACCAUCGGAUGUGCCCAGAUGGGAUUAGCUAGUAGGUGGGGUAAUGGCUCACCUAGGCGACGAUCCCUAGCUGGUCUGAGAGGAUGACCAGCCACACUGGAACUGAGACACGGUCCAGACUCCUACGGGAGGCAGCAGUGGGGAAUAUUGCACAAUGGGCGCAAGCCUGAUGCAGCCAUGCUGCGUGUAUGAAGAAGGCCUUCGGGUUGUAAAGUACUUUCAGCGGGGAGGAAGGCGGUGAAGUUAAUAGCUUCACCGAUUGACGUUACCCGCAGAAGAAGCACCGGCUAACUCCGUGCCAGCAGCCGCCGUAACAC